AUGGAGCUUCAUCCAGGUCAACAUAAUUUUUCUACAUCCAUCUAUCUCUUACGUACCCAGGUCAGGAUAUUACAUGAGUGUCCGGGAGCAGCACCUCCAGGACACGGAGCAGAGAGGCGAGGGAGCGCCUGCGGCAGCGCGCACGGCGUGUACGCCCGGGACGGCCAAGUAACCCGAAGCUGUUCCCAGGAGAUGCGUGCGCUCUCGGCGGCGGAAGCAUCUCCUUCAUACACGCGCCCUCACGGCGGCAGCAGCUCGCUGGCGGCCCGAGGCAACGCCACUCUCGUCCGCAAGACCAGGAGGUUACGCCGCCGGCAAGCAGUAAGGCGCCAACUCUACCUCAGAGGCGGCAUCGAAGGGACGACCGACGUGUGGCCUGGCUCCAUCACCAUCGCCACGACAACAUCGGAGCUGCCGGCCUCAAGCCCGGGGCUAUCUCCACCAUGGUGGCGUGCGAACCAGCUCCAUCCUCAUCGCCACGACAACGUCAGAGCUGCCGGCCUCAAGCCCGGCGCUAUCUCCACCAUGCCGGCGUGCGUCCCGGCUCCAUCAUCAUCGCCACGACAACGUCGGAGCUGCUGGCCUCAAGCCCUGCGCUAUCUCCACCAUGCCGGCGUGCGGCCCGGCUCCAUCACCACCCGUUGUUCAUCUCAUCACGACGGUUCGGCCAAAACGGGGAUGCGGAGCACGCCACGACGAUGCCCAAACCGUCGAGAUCGCCAAGUCGGUGUCAUGGAGGUCGACACCACGGAAAGCCGCCUCCACUCAUCACCGUUCGACGAAGACGACGGGUCGCCGGAGUUCGUCUUCACCGAGCACGUGCUAUGGACGCCGACGCCACAGAGGCCGCCCCCUACUCAUCACCGUUCGACGAAGACGACGCGUAACCGGAGUUCGUCUUCACCAAGCCCGUGCUAUGGACGCCGACAGCAUGGAGGCCGCCCCCACUCAUCACCGCUUGACGAAGACGACGCGUCGCCGGGGCUCGUUUUCACCAAGCCGGCUCUAUCGAGGCCAACUCCACCUUGA
rnacentral:rRNA from 1 species